CGGAGCUCCGGGCGGGGACCACCGAGCCGGGCCAGACCCUGAGGGAGGGUUUGGGAAGCGCCUCUGGAAGGAAGCGGGUCUCAGAGUCCACAUAGGAUCUCACAGGGUACUCCUCCUUCUCUGAAAAGACGAACUAUUUUAAAAGAAAACGUCUUGGGCCAGACUUCAGACGACAUCGGAGAGGUCUCAGGGUGGGUGGAGCCACAUACACUAGAUUUACGAGGAAGAUGCUGUCGUUGGUGGCUUCUGGCUUCCUGAGUCAGUUGUGAGAAGGAAACUGUACACCAGAUGGUGGAGGAGCCAAGGGUCAGGGCGAAACCUCUCCCACACAUCCCCGGGACCGAGAGGGCAGGAGGAGGCUGUGGUUGCCCAGGCCCAUGUCUUCCUCUGAACUGCAGAACUGAAGGCGGGAUCUUGGUCCGGACAGAAGGGACACCAUGAUCACAAAAUUCCUGUCCCUGCUUUGCCUUGGGCUUUGUCUGGGCAAUGAAGAUGAGGAAAAGAAUGGGAACCAAGAGGAAAGCAAACCUGCCUCCUCACAGAUAGAUACCAGGGUCGUCUUCGUGGCCACCUUCAGCUGCCUCUCCCUCUUUCUCCUCUUCCUCGCCAUCUUCUUCAUCUACAGGUGCACUCAGCAAGAUUCAUCACAGGAAGAAUCCACCAAGAGGUAGGUACACUUGGCAGACCUCACGCCCUGCCUUAACUCCCACGCCACUCUUCAGAGACCCGGUCUGCACAUCAGUGACUCUCAUGCCCAGCCCCACCUCUGUCAGCCCUAGCCCCUCCCCCAGAUCUCCAGAUCCCAGACUUGAACACAUUUCUCUUUCUCAGAACCCGUCAUUCCAAAGUGCACACACAGAGGGAUGCAGAUGCACCCAUGAUGGAAAGGAUAUCUGAAUCGCCUGAAGAUCCCGAUGGGGUGACCUACGCCCAGCUAAACACCACAGUGCUGUCCGGGGCAGCUUCCGUCCCCGCCGAGGAGACCCCAAGUUCUUGUGACUACACAAUGGUGAAGGUGUAGGACUGAGAGAAGAGCUUUUCUCUGGGAGGGAGAGUAUGGAUUAACAUGGCUGGGAUGACCGGACUUGGGAAAAUUCAGGUGACUCUGUCCUUGGCACUUUUAUUCAUAAUAAUAGAAUUAUGUUUCCCUUCUUGCUUCCCCUCCUCUCAUAAAUUAUGGGGUGAGUUUUCACGAGACUUGGAGUGUAACCUUAGUAUGAAAUUGUUAGUCGCUCAGUUGUGUCCGACUCUUUGCGACCUCAUGGACUGUAGCCCACCAGGCUCAUCUGCCCAUGGGGUGUCCCAGGCACGAAUACUGGAGGAGGUUGCCAUUUCCUUCCCCAACGGAUCUUCCUGACCCAGGGGAUUGAACCCCAGUCUCCUGCAUUGCAGGCAGAUUCUUUACCCUCUGACCCACCAGGGAGGGUUUGAAUGAAAUCAUAGGCUAAGAAUACGUAAUGUAUCUACAGGCUGGUGGGACUGGGAAUAUUCACUUAGGGAGUUCAGGAUGACAUCAUGCAAAUGGAAAAUGUUCCUCAGAGAAGACUACAUGCCCCCACAGACACAGGGAUUUCACAAAAGGAGCAGAAAAAAAUGGCCCUGGAGGGAGAUACUUGUGAAUUAACAAAAAGCAUCCCAAAGUAGCACACACCUAGGAAAAUGGCUGAAAGUAUUUGGUUCCUGAUUCUUUCAAGCCCUCUAGUCUCAAGACCAGUUUCCUCUCUGCUAAGAAUGAAAGUGUUUUCUUACUGCCAUCACAUUUCUGUUUUUAUUCUUAUUAAAAUCAAAGGCUACAAUAAAGUUAGACUUACUGAAUCUAUGUGGAUUCUGUCACUUGGCACCCAUAACUUAAUUAACUCAUGUGAAUACAGCAUUUUAAGGAUUUUUUUCUAAAUGUGGACUUUUUUGUGUAGAUGACAGUGGUACUGAAUAACUGCUUCUGUAUAAGCACGUGUAUAUGAGCUUUGCUUCCAAAGUUGCAUCACUCAAUCAGGUUUGAAAGUCAUUUUAAAAUAUAUGAAUGGAUCAAUGUAUAAAUAUUUGGAAUGUAUAUAUGAAUAUUCUAUCCAGUAGCAUACACUGGAUAACCUUCUUUUUUUCGGGCGUGCCUGCAGCUUGUGGGAUCUUACCCCCCCUACCAGGGAUUGAACCCAGGCCCUCAGCAGGGAAAGCCUGGAGUCCUAACCACUGGACUGCCAGGGAAUUCCCUAGAUAACUUUUUUUCAAGUUUUUAAACUAUGAAAUACUUCUGUCAUAAAGAAAAACACCCCAAAAUAUAAGUGGAAAUAAGCACACUGACCUUAUUUUCAAACCAUGAACACUUUGCUGUGUUUUUAUUCUACCCCUCCCAGUCUAUUUCCCUCCCUCUUUUUCUAAGAGGUCAACAUUACUCAGAGUAGUAUAUAUUAUGCUGAUGGAUUUUUUCAUACUUUUACCCCUCAAGCAUCUAUAAAUAGUCAAUACAUUAUAUUUUAUUGUUAUUAUAUUAUACAAACAUAGGGAGUCAUCAUUACAAUUCUGUCACCAUUUUUUUAUUGCCAUCAACAUUAUGCUUUUGAAACUCAUCCAGGUGAUUUUUGAAGACUUAUUUCCUUGUUUGCUGCACAGAAUUCAGUUGUUAACCAUACCAUGGAAUAUUACUCAGCCCCAAAAAAGGAUGAGCCACUGGAACAUGCCAUGACCUGGAUGACACUUGGAAACAUUAUGCUAAGACACAGAAAGCUGUGCAUCAUAGGCAUUUUAUUUAUAUGAAAUAUCCAGAAUGGACAGAUCCUUAGAGAGAGAAAGUGGAUUAAUGGCUGCAGUUAAUGGUUGCCAUUAAUUGGAGAGAAGGAGAAAGGGGGAGUGACUAGAAACAGGUACGGGUAUCUUCUUGGGUUGAUGACAGUGUUGUGGAAUUAGUCAGUGGUGAUGGUUGUUCAGCCGUGUGAAUAAAGACCACUGAACUAUACACCUUAGAAGCGCAGGUUUUAUGGUAUGUGAUUACAUCUCAAUAAAAGAAAAUUUUAAAAAGCA